CGGCAAACUGCUCAGUAAUGCGUAGUCAACCUGCCCUUAGCUGGGGGAUAAUCUCUGCGAAAGUGAGGCUAAUACCCUAUAGGCAUCAGCUGCUGGAAUGCUCUGAUGCAAAAAGCUCCGGCGACUAAGGAUGGGACUGCGCCCUAUCAGGCUGUUGAUGGUGUAAUGAACCAUCAAACCGAUAACGGGUACGGGCUAUGGAAGUAGGAGCCCGGAGAUGGAUUCUGAGACAUGAAUCCAGGUACUACGGUACGCAGCAGGCGCGGAAACUUUACAAUUCGCUAGCGCGAGAUAAGGGAACUUGGAGUGUUCUAGCUUUGCUAGAACUUUUGCUCACUGAAAACAGAUGGGAGAAUAAGGGAUGGGAAAGACGGGUGCCAGCCACCGCGGUAAUACCCGCGUCCCAAGUGAUAGCCAAGGUUAUUGGGUCUAAAGCGUCCGUAGCCGGUCUAGAAAGUCCUUGGUGAAAUUCCAUAGAAAACUAUGGAGCUUGCUGAGGAUACUGUUAGACUUGAGACCGGGAUAGGGUAGGGAUACCCACGGGGUAGGGGUAAAAUCCUGUAAUCCUGUGGGGAUCACCUGUGGCGAAGGCGCCUACCUGGAACGGGUCUGACGGUGAGGGACGAAAGCUAGGGGAGCGAUUGGGAUUAGAUACCCCAGUAGUCCUAGCCGUAAACGAUGCCCGCUUGGUGUUGCGAACUUCUCGGGAGUUUGCAGUGCCGGAGUGCAGAUGUUAAGCGGGCCACCUGGGAAGUACGUCCGCAAGGAUGAAACUUAAGGGAAUUGGCGGGGGAGCACACAAGGGGUGUGGCCUGCGGUUCAAUUGGAUUCAACGCCGGGAAUCUUACUAGAGGCGACAGCAGGUUGAAGGUCAGUCUGAAGGGCUUACCUGACAAGCUGAGAGGUGGUGCAUGGCCAUCGUCAGCUCGUACCUUGAGGCGUGCCGUUAAGUCGGUUAACGAGCGAGACCCAUGCUCUAUGUUGCUAAGCUGUUUUUCGAAGCAGCAGAACUCAUAGAGGACCGCUGGUGAUAAACCAGAGGAAGGCAUGGGCGACGGUAGGUCAGCAUGCCCCGAAUCUUCUAGGCUACACGCGGUCUACAAUGCAUGUCACAAUUGGAUGCAACCCCGAAAGGGGAAGCUAAUCCCCUAAAAGCAUGCUCAGUUCAGAUCGAGGGUUGUAACUCACCCUCGUGACGCUGGAGUCCCUAGUAAGCGAACGUCAUCAUCGUUCGCUGAAUAAGUCCCUGCUCCUUGCACACACCGCCCGUCAAGCCAACCGAGUGAAAUCCAAAUGAGGCUUUAUCUCGUGGUAGAUUCGAGUUUGGGUUUUGCGAGAAGGGCUAAGUCGCCACAAGGUA
rnacentral:rRNA from 1 species